CCUACGGGUGGCAGCAGUGGGGAAUAUUGCGCAAUGGGCGAAAGCCUGACGCAGCGACGCCGCGUGAGGGAUGAAGGUCCUCGGAUCGUAAACCUCUGUUAGCAGGGAAGAACGGUCACUGUGCUAAUCAGCAGUGAAUUGACGGUACCUGCAAGGGAAGCCCCGGCUAAUUCCGUCCCAGCAGCUGCGGUAAUACGGGGGGUGCGAGCGUUAAUGGGAUUUACUGGGCGUAAAGCGCUCGUAGGCGGUAUGUCAAGUCAAGGGUGAAAUCCCCGGGCUCAACGUGGGAACUGCCUUUGAAACUGGCAAACUGGAGUGUGGGAGAGGAUAGUGGAAUUCCAGGUGUAGGGGUGAAAUCCGUAGAGAUCUGGAGGAACACCAGUGGCGAAGGCGACUAUCUGGCACAUAACUGACGCUGAGGAGCGAAAGCGUGGGUAGCAAACAGGAUUAGAUACCCUAGUAGUC
rnacentral:rRNA from 1 species